rnacentral:misc_RNA from 1 species
UACAGUGAACACAAUCGACAAUGGCAUCGUAUGUUCUGAGGGUGAUUUCUCUUACCCUUGGCGUCUUCUUUAUUUUUAUAGGAACUUUAAAACUCACCCCAUCUGUUAACAAAGAAUUACACAAGGAAAUGGUAAGAACAGAUUCGUAUUGUUUGUCUCGUGCACAAACGUGUUGUUGAAACUAAACUGUAAUGAACGCAAAAAAAUAUACUAUGUACAGGUAUAUGCUAUGCAUUACCUUGAAUCAAUGAAUGAAAAUCCUACAACCUACAGCUACCUAUUCUCCUGUGUGAUUAAGUGCAUUUAUUAUACUUCUGUGAAAAUAUUCUAUGUAAAAUAACAAUGAAUAAACAUGCUAUUCUAUCUAACCAUGAAUUUGUUUCCAUGCUAUCUGCCCUGGAAAAUAUACAUUGAAACCAUUUACCAGCGGUAUUUUAUAUCCCUCGUUUUUAAACUUGGAACACCUCUGGUAAAGUGGUGUAAUUCAGAUUCAAUUCUAAGUCCCAUAACUGUAAUUUGUUUACUCUCAAGAAAAUCUGUAUCACUGAAAAAUGAAGUUUUCUUCAGUAUCAUAAAAUACCAAAUGUGUUUAAUUUACUGACUACACGGACGAUAUCAAGUUCAUUGUAAAUUGUCCCCCUUAACAGCAACUAUUUCCCUCACUUAACUUUCACCUUGUGAAAUACAUGCUGUCUCAGGGGACAUUAAACUUGCUAUUGUUCUUUUAGCCAGUAAAUAGGUUGUUAGUUUAAUUAAUAUCAACCAAGGAACAAUGUAGAUAAAACCUGUCCAUUGAAACAGGUGAUGUCAAUACAGAGAAAAGCUCUGAACUAUGAUUACCGGUAAGUCCUAAGCUUAUAUACUAGGAGUAACCUAACAUUAGGGGCAUACCCUAUAUAAGCCUCUGAAGGUAUAGCAGCAAGGAAUCUGAGGUUCUUCUGAAACAGUUGAUUUCUGCUUUUAUGACAUGCCCUUGUACAUUUCAUGAUACAAAAGUGGGACAAGAGUCAAGAGGAAUCUUGGAUUAUGCAGCAAAGAAAGAGAUGUAUUGUGGUCAAAUGGUGGAGUUACUCCAGAAAAGUUAUUUUUGUAUUCAUGAUGACCUUUUUUAAAACCUCAUCUUAUUUCUCUUGCAGAGAAAAAUGUAUAUUAAAAAUGCCAAAGUGUUCCCAUUAGUGAAAUGGACAAAGUGGAAACCAAACUCCCAUAUGUACAGAAAAGUGAUAGGUGGAUCUGAGGUGGUGUGUGGUGCCAUUCUUUCUUUCAUACCUGGUCCCCUCAAAGAGGCAGCUAAUGUGCUGAUGAUCCUGUUAUCUUGCCUUGACAUAUACUCACAUUACGCUCAGGAUGAAGGCUUGGAUAAAAUGAGUCUCUCUGUGGUGUUCUUCCUUCUGCUGACGUGUCGCCUUAUUAUACAUCUCCAAAUGAAGGCUCGGGAGUUAGAGGAGGCGGCUCAACAGAACCAGGUCACUGAGCAGGCCACACCCACUUGUCAAGGUCACACCCACAAUGUACACCCAGCAGCCGGGGCAGGCUUUUCUGCAGCUGUUAAAAAGACUCAGUAAAAGAACUAUCAAGGAGAGUAACUCCGUUCUGUCACUGAUAAAAGAGCUGCUAAGGGGAUUAACCCCUGUUGUAAAAGCAAGGGAUGAACAAAGAAUGUUUGAUUUAUUUUGAGUAUUUGUUUGUCGUGUGAAAAUCACUGGAGUGUAAUAUUACAAUAACUGUUAUUGAUGAGAAAUCCAUGGUAUUUGUGCAGUAUUGCGAUUAAAUGUGUGUUAAUGCAUGUGCAGUUUUGUUUAAGAAAUAGUUGUACUCCCUCCUUUACACAUUGAAUACAUGGUUGUCAUUUUUAUCUAGUUUUAGAAUAUACUCUGGAAAGGGCAUUUGUGCAACUGUUAUUGAAUGUCAUUUUACUGUAUACAUGUAUUUGAACAUCAAAGUUAAUUUUAUUUUUUAUUCUUUGUCAUUUUAUUUAGCAAAUGACUAUCAAAUUUGUUGUUGUUUUGAUAAUGACUGUGCUUUUAUUUUGCUUUUUUCCAUUUCUGAUAAUACAUGUACAUGUAUAGG